AAAUGACUUGUAAAAAUGAAAACAUCAAUCAAAGUUCUUUCUUUCUGGCCCCUCUAUGGAAAAUUGGGGAAUCUGCAUUCAAAAAGCAGGAACUGACCAAAAUAGCAAUUUUGGAAGAGAAAACAGAGAAAUUUCUGAAUGAAGCCAAAGAGAUGUGUGCUGU